rnacentral:lncRNA from 10 species
CUUGUCUCCUAACAGGCUGGUUUCCAUGAGUUUCUGAUUCACAUACGCUGUGUUUUCAUUCAACAGAAUCCUGUGAAAGUCUGGGUCGGUUGAUAAGCAGAUGUAGCAAUCGCUUAGUUUGUUCAAGUUUUCAUCAGUAGAUGCAGGUGCCUACAGGGUAAGUCGGUGCUCUUGAUCAUGAAGCUGCAUACUUACCUGGACCAGUUUGCAGGAGAAGCUGAAAGAGGAGAUCUGGCAGGAGCUAGAGGAGUUUGGGGCCUGACUGCUACUCCAACAACAAGAUAAACCAGCAAUUCAGCAACAACAUGCAUAAGCUGCAAUAGAUCCUGAACUCACACUCACCUUUCUAGGACAAACAGGGUGUUGCUCCCCUGUCAUUUAAAAAAUCAUUUACAAAUUUUAUUCGUGGCCAAUUCUCACUUGGAAAGAUAUAUGGAAGACAAAUGUGGCAAAGGGAGUUUCAGUUAAGCCAAAUUGAAACAAGAGAAAGCAACAUUUCAUUUAAUUUUGCAACUUUAAUGUAAUUGUGCUCUAAAUUGUGGACUUUGGAUUAAUAGCAAAAUUCCAAGUUGUGGAAUAUUAUCUUCUGGUUUUGAAUACAUCCUAGCACUUUAUCAUAUUCUAUAUACUAACAUUAUAUAGUGCUUAUUAUAGAGAGUGGGUUUAGUAGUCCCUAAUAUUCAUGUCUUUAUAAAAGCUGAAUUUGUAAUAUUCUUUCAAGUAUCAUUGACAAUUUCCUGUACCAAGCAAAAUGAUAUCAUGAUAAUUAAAAUUAAAAUUCUGACAUCUGGAACAGGAAGCUCAGUUAAGCAAAAUUUAUUCGGAAAAAAGAUGUCUUACCAGGGCUGUGUAUUAGACUUUAUUUUAGGUUAAGAGAAAAAUAUGAUUUAUAGGUUUCCUGAGACUAAAUCGUUAACACAAUAUUACAUACUAUAAGCAGAUAAGUUCCAAGCACAAUCCUUGGCAUAGUUUAAGGAGUCUAACAAAGAAAGAAGGAAUGGAAUUAAUGGUGAUGUUGAUGAAGAGGGAGGUUGUGAUGAUGGUGAUGUGAGAACACAACGAGCUGUAAUAAAUAAAGAAAAAUCAUCCACUACUGUUUUUAAGGCAUAAAUACACAGUAGGUCUUAUAGAAAACUGGAAAAGUCACCUAUUAAUCGGCAACUCUAAUGAUCAAUUUAUCUUGUAACCUUAAGGUGUGAUCUGUUCUUCAAAUUUAUCUUACUCUCUCCACUCGUGCUCCUUUGUGAGUUAUCAUACCCUUUCAUUAGCUCACCUAUCAAAUGUCAGUGACCUCUGUUCGAUUAAGGACUAGAAUAGAAUAGAAUAGAAUAGAAUAGAACAGAACAGAACAGAACAGAACAGAACAGAACAGAACAGAACAGAACAGAACAGAACAGAACAAUUUGGCUUUCAGGCUUACAUGGCAAAAAGCAUACCAUCUUUGGGUAGAAAGAAAUACCUUUAUUCAGCAAAGACCUAUAAACAUAGCAGACUUUUUGGUGUUGCCGACUGAGCAGUAUAGACCUGUAUCUGUUUUAGAUGAUUAUGUUACUCUUGCCCAUAAUGGUCCAAAAUAGGAACUUUUUUUAAAAAAGAUGUUGAGAGAGGCGAGGGAUUUGCAGGAUGCGCCACAGAGCCGUUUUGUUUUGAAAGUGUAAAAGAAGUAUAAUACAUAAUUUCUGAUUAGUUUUUUUAAAACUACAAAAUGUUGUUUUUUCCACUAUUCUUCUGAGGGAUGUUCACCAAUAUUCUGGUUUUCCUCUGGACACAUGGUUGAAUUGCACUUCCUCACUCCCCUCCCCAUAGCCUACCAUGCUUGCAGUUAGUUAGGCACAACCAAUGACCUGCUGUAGCCAACGAAAUGAGAGCAGAAGUGAAGUGUUCACUUAUGUUUGUCCUACUUCUUGCAAUAAGUAAUUUGAGGCAGUUGUGACCUUGGCCAUGGAUAUGGUGGUACAUCAUUUGCACUGUUAAGAUUAUGACAAAAACAUUGCACAUAUUCAAUUUAUUUCAUAUUAAAAACAAAUAAAAUAUUUUGAACUCACCAUAAAAUUGCUUGAUUAAAACAUGGCUACUAUGUACAUUCUAAAUAUACUUCUCUUUAUUGGAAAAAUAUUAAUUAAAAUAAUUAUUACUUUAACAGAAACUCUAAGUGAUUAGUGCUUCAUAAUGAUUGCCCACAGAUUUAGAAUACUUAUUAAUUCUAUAAUAAUGUAGUCUUAAGAAUUAUAUGUGUUUAACUUUUUCAGGCUAAAAUAAUGUGUUACGUAUAAAGAUUUAAUUGUAGGCACAUGACUCUGAACUCCCUUUUCCCAAGUGUAGAGAUUGUUGUGACAAGUCCUGAAAUGGAGCCUCCAUCAGCCUGAGUGACUACAAUGAGCUGAAAUCAGUGCUGCUCCAUUUGGACAUUCAAGAUGAGUGAGAUAAAAAAAAAAAAUUGUUUUGUGUUAAGCCACUGAGAAUAGGGUGGUGUUUGUUACUGCAGCCUGACAUAGCCCACCCUGACAAGUACAGAUGGCGGCCUGUAGUGCUUACAUACCAAAAAAGAAUAAUCUUAGAAUGCACAGUGUAAAGCCACUCAGUCACUUGUCAUAAAAUUUAUACGAUGAGAAAGAGGCCACACAGAUCCGCAGAUGGUGGACCAAACUCCUUGGUUGGUUGGUAUUGGGAGAACAAGUGUUAGGCCUGGGGAGAAUGUGUGGGUAUCCAUCUGUCUUUGGCCAAGUGAACACGCUAGUGUUCCAGGUCUUUAGGCAAAAGCAGAAAAGAGAUGACAGCUUUCAGCUCAACAGAUAACUUAAGAUGCCAAACUUUUCUGCUGUGUGCCUUAUUUUUUUGAAGAAGCCCAGAGAUCCCCAGUUCAACAAGUAACUAUAUAUAAUAAGCAUGAACUUAUGUUUGCCCUACUUCUUGCAAUAAGUAAUUUGAGGCAGUUGUGACCUUGGCCAUGGUGGUAAAUCAUUUGCACUGUUAAGAUUAUGACAAAAACAUUGCACAUACUUAAUUUAUUUCAUAUUAAAAAGAAAUAAAAUAUUUUGAACUCACCAUAAAAUUGCUUGAUUAAAACAUGGCUGUUAUGUACAUUCUAAAUAUACUUCUCUUUAUUGGAAAUAAUAUUAAUUAAAAUAAUUAUUACUUUAACAAAAACUCUAAGUGAUUAGUGCUUUAUAAUUAUUGCCCACAGAUUUAGAAUAUUUAUUAAUUCUACAAUAAUGUAGUCUUAAGAAUUAUAUGUGUUUAACUUUUUCAGGCUAAAAUAAUGUGUUACGUAUAAAGUAGUGUAAUAGGGUUACUUGGCAUGGUCCCUAAUCACUUUACCAGCCCACUUAUUUAAAAU